rnacentral:rRNA from 1 species
UACGAAGGGGGCUAGCGUUGCUCGGAAUCACUGGGCGUAAAGGGUGCGUAGGCGGGUCUUUAAGUCAGGGGGGAAAUCCUGGAGCUCAACUCCAGAACUGCCUUUGAUACUGAAGAUCUUGAGUUCGGGAGAGGUGAGUGGAACUGCGAGCGUAGAGGUGAAAUUCGUAGAUAUUCGCAAGAACACCAGUGGCGAAGGCGACUACCUGGCCUGUUCUUGACGCUGAGGCGCGAAAGCUAGGGGAGCAAACGGG